rnacentral:rRNA from 1 species
AUUGAACGCUGGCGGCAUGCCUUACACAUGCAAGUCGAACGGCAGCACGGGUGCUUGCACCUGGUGGCGAGUGGCGAACGGGUGAGUAAUACAUCGGAACGUACCUUAUCGUGGGGGAUAACGCAGCGAAAGCUGUGCUAAUACCGCAUACGCCCUGAGGGGGAAAGCGGGGGAUCGCAAGACCUCGCGCGAUUAGAGCGGCCGAUGCCUGAUUAGCUUGUUGGUGGGGUAAAAGCCCACCAAGGCGACGAUCAGUAGCUGGUCUGAGAGGACGAUCAGCAACACUGGGGCUGAGACACGGCCCAGACUCCUACGGGAGGCAGCAGGGGGGAAUUUUGGACAAUGGGGGCAACCCUGAUCCAGCAAUGCCGCGUGAGUGAAGAAGGCCUUCGGGUUGUAAAGCUCUUUUGUCAGGGAAGAAACACCGGCUCUAACACAGUCCGGGAAUGACGGUACCUGAAGAAUAAGCACCGGCUAACUACGUGCCAGCCGCCGCAGUAA